rnacentral:rRNA from 1 species
ACCAUGCAAGUCGAACGAUGAAGCCCAGCCUUGCUGGGUGGAUUAGUGGCGAACGGGUGAGUAACACGUGAGCAACCUGCCCCUGACUCUGGGAUAAGCGCUGGAAACGGCGUCUAAUACUGGAUANGAACAAGAAUCGCAUGGUUACUUGUUGGAAAGAUUUUUCGGUUGGGGAUGGGCUCGCGGCCUAUCAGCUUGUUGGUGAGGUAAUGGCUCACCAAGGCGUCGACGGGUAGCCGGCCUGAGAGGGUGACCGGCCACACUGGGACUGAGACACGGCCCAGACUCCUACGGGAGGCAGCAGUGGGGAAUAUUGCACAAUGGGCGCAAGCCUGAUGCAGCAACGCCGCGUGAGGGAUGACGGCCUUCGGGUUGUAAACCUCUUUUAGCAGGGAAGAAGCGAGAGUGACGGUACCUGCAGAAAAAGCACCGGCUAACUACGUGCCAGCAGCCGCGGUAAUACGUAGGGUGCAAGCGUUAUCCGGAAUUAUUGGGCGUAAAGAGCUCGUAGGCGGUUUGUCGCGUCUGCUGUGAAAUCUGGGGGCUCAACCCCCAGCCUGCAGUGGGUACGGGCAGACUAGAGUGCGGUAGGGGAGAUUGGAAUUCCUGGUGUAGCGGUGGAAUGCGCAGAUAUCAGGAGGAACACCGAUGGCGAAGGCAGAUCUCUGGGCCGUAACUGACGCUGAGGAGCGAAAGGGUGGGGAGCAAACAGGCUUAGAUACCCUGGUAGUCCACCCCGUAAACGUUGGGAACUAGUUGUGGGGUCCAUUCCACGGAUUCCGUGACGCAGCUAACGCAUUAAGUUCCCCGCCUGGGGAGUACGGCCGCAAGGCUAAAACUCAAAGGAAUUGACGGGGACCCGCACAAGCGGCGGAGCAUGCGGAUUAAUUCGAUGCACCGCGAAGAAC